GGGGAUCAUCAUAUUUGGGCCAUCAAAACCCCAGAUUAUGUCACUAAAAUAAUACUAAUAGCAUUACUGCAAAUGAUUAGAUGCACUGAAUUGGCUUUUGCAGCAUUAGAAAGGCCAUGCGUGAAAAGGCAAAUGAUUUACACAUCAAUGAUGGGAGUGGCUCUACACUUCACUGCUCUCCGUGUGUGCAAGUGUAGGGAUACAGAGAGAAAGCCUGUGUGUGCGUACUGUAGGAGAGCAAGAGAGAGUAUAUCAAGGAGCAUGCGCAAUUCUCUAUGACCGUGUGUGUGUGUGUGAGAGAGACGGAGAGAGAAAGAGAUCAAGAAAGGGAACACACCAUUCUGUUGCACCACUCCUAGAGAGCCUGGAGACGCUCUCACACUGUCUGACUCCUGUUCCAGCUCAGGGCUUCUGCAUGGACACACAUGCACACAUGAGCACAGAGCCACACACAAACACACACCACAGACGUGUCGUCACUGCCACUCCUGGCAGCCGGUGAUAUAAGGGAGUAGGAGCGGUAAGGAGAAGAAGGAGAGGUGGAAGCGGCUAGCAUUAAGCUGAAGCAGGAGACCCAGCCGUUGCACCUGGCCUCUCACGCAGCUCACCAUGUGAAUCGCUGCCGCCUCCUAGAGGAUAAGAACAGAGCUCUUCAAAUAGAGCUAGCCACUCUCAGACAGCAGAAACAGCAGCACAGAUCUCUGGAGUCAGAGGUCAACGAGCGGAGGAAAAGGUGUCAGAUCCUUGAGAGAGAAGUGAAGAAUAAGACAUUAGAAUGUAAGACUUUGAAGAAUGAGCUUCAGGAUGCUUUGCUGGAGAGAAAACGGCUCAAUCGUGAGCUGCUUAGUCACACCCUGAAGGCCACACAGUACGAGAAGGUAAAGUCAGACUAUGAUCAGCUCAGAAAGGCUUUUGGUUGUGUGAGUCAAGAGAGGGACACUGCCAGGCAGGAGAAGGCUCAGCUCCAAGACAAACUGGAGAACCUUGAACAGGUCCUGAAGGUAAGAUCACUGUUGGAUACUGGUUAAAUGCUAGUUUGAUUAUUGAUUCAAAUCCAACCAGCUUUCAAUACAUUUUGCAGAUAAAAGUUUCCUCUAUGACAGCUUUUCUAG
rnacentral:lncRNA from 12 species